rnacentral:lncRNA from 1 species
GUUUCUGAUUAGCAGUAAGGAGGAAUCCAAAGUUUGCAGACAGAAUGGACUAUCUGAGAACUCAUCGGUUGCAGAGGUUCAACUCUGUGUAGUUAUAAAAUAUAUUACUGAAAUGUGCAGAUUUCCUCUAAGUAAAACCUUAUAUUUAUAUAUUCCCAUAUAUACACACAAUUUUAUACCAGUUAGAAGCUAUUUGUAGUAUGUGGCUUUUUACAAAGGUAGUCGAUUAAAUAGCUUAGGCUUGGGAAAUUCCACUGUUGAGACUUAAGCAAAAGCUAGGUUAUACAGAGACUUUAAACUCCGCUAUUUGAAUAAGCUUCAAUAAUUUUAACCUACCGAGAAAUGUAUGUCUUGCAAGUGUUACAACAGGGACUUAUUGGAUGUCACCAAUAAAAGGGAAAUCGAAAAGAAAAUUGGAAAGGAAAAACCAUCCCAAAGAAUUUCAGUCUGAAAUCUACCUUUAUAGGCCCUGCCUGUUGUCUUAAAUUUUAUAUAGUUUUACUAAUUUAUUUUAAUAAAGUUUUAUGAACUAAGUAGAGGUUAAUGAAAUAUUUUCAUUUGUAGUGCUGGGUAUCAAAUCCUAGCCCUUUUGCAUGUGGGGUACACACUUUGCCAUUAACCUAUGCCCACCAUGAUUAUAUGAAUUACUUUCAGAGUAAAAAGUAUUAAAGAUUAUCUUUGGUCACAUAACACCCUAUUUGGUAAUAUAAAUACUCAGUUUUAAUGAAUUUCUUUUUUACCAAAUAUUUAAGGACAAAUAGAACAACUUUAGUACCUAGCUUUUCUAGACUUAUCAAUAGAAUUAAAAACAAAAACAAUAUGAGUAUCCUCACCAUGUUCUUGGUAAAACUUUUAAAUCAUUUUAAAAGAUAUUCAAAAAACAGUGGAAUUUAUAGCUGUUUCACAG